UCUUGACAUCUAGGCAUACCAAGGAACAUUUCCAUAAAGUUUCAUCCAGCUAGGUCUUAUAAUGAAAGAUUUAGAAUUUUGAAAUUUUUUCACUUUUUUGCAGUUUCCAUGGAAACGGCGGCCAUUUAAAAAAAUUCCAGAGUCAGAUGCACAACUUCACAUGGGGGUCCUCAUUAUGUUAUAGUUCCAACAUUAUUGGAUCACUCAAUUCUUAGAAACACGAUGGACAAAAUGUGUGGAAGAAUAAUAAAAAUAAGAAAAAAAAGAAACGUAGAAUAACAAUACGUCACCCCAAACUCCGUUGAGGGUGCCAUAAUAAAAAUAAUAAGAACUGAG
rnacentral:lncRNA from 1 species